AAUGCGUAGAGAUCUGGAGGAAUACCGGUGGCGAAGGCGGCCCCCUGGACAAAGACUGACGCUCAGGUGCGAAAGCGUGGGGAGCAAACAGGAUUAGAUACCCUGGUAGUCCACGCCGUAAACGAUGUCUACUUGGAGGUUGUGCCCUUGAGGCGUGGCUUCCGGAGCUAACGCGUUAAGUAGACCGCCUGGGGAGUACGGCCGCAAGGUUAAAACUCAAAUGAAUUGACGGGGGCCCGCACAAGCGGUGGAGCAUGUGGUUUAAUUCGAUGCAACGCGAAGAACCUUACCUGGUCUUGACAUCCACAGAACUUUCCAGAGAUGGAUUGGUGCCUUCGGG
rnacentral:rRNA from 1 species